UUUACUGGUGGGACUGAAGUCAGAAAUAUCAAUAUCUUCCAAACUUUGGUUCGUGGCUUCAGUUAAUCCCUUGGUGAUGUUCACUUGGUCUUCAGAAAUAUCCUUCAUAGAUUCCGGGGAGAUCUCGUAGGUACCGUUUGCGGAAGUAGUCGUAUCUACAUGCAGUGCAACAUUACAUUCAAAAUGUGCACAUAACACUACCUUACUUCACAAUACAAUUGCAAUCCAACACUCAUUCAACAUACUACUCACGUAAUAACUCAAAAAUAUCUGAAACUAAACUUAGAUAGAGCUUUAGGGGGACAACUAAUUAAGAAGGACUAUAUGUUGAAGACUAUAACAGAGUCGAUUGGAUACAACAGAGGUUUAGCUGAUUGAUGAGUGCAUCGGGUUCCUAGAUGAUCGAUGAAAGCAUCGAUUACUUCAGCAGAGGGAUAUUCCUAAAGCAGUUGUCUUAACGGAGAUGUGCUUAAGUGUUAUCCUAGAUAACUAGGUGUGGUUGUAUCGACUCGAUUACGUCAGCACAACAAUUAAGUGACGUAUAGCCGAAUGGAGUGUGGUUAAGGGUAUGUGACCGAUAAGUAUAAAGCCGACUUCUCAGUCGAUAAAUCGACUAAUAGAAGUGUGUGGAUAAGGAUGGGGAAAACUAAGGAUCGAUCGGCCGUGUUUGACCGAUAUGGAAAAGCAACCAAAAUCGGCUUGGGUCGGCCGAUGGCAAGAACCCUAAGAUCGUGUGUGCACCUCAGAUUGAUCGGCUAUGUAGCAGCUGAUGUAGGACAGAACAACAGAAUUGUAUCGGCAGUAGCCGAUAUUAGAAGGGUAACAACCGGAUCAACUAACCAGCCGAGGGUAAAAGCAUACCAAAAGAAGGGCAUCGGCUGACAGUUGUUACACAGAAAUAUCAUAGACUCAAAGGAAACAGAUGCUUAGCGGCUGAACUGACAGCCGACACUAAAGCAUAGCUGUUGAGAUGUAUUAGCUAAGCAAUAGACGCACACGGACUAACAAGGAUCUAUAUACGACAAGGAACUUAAGAAAACAGCAAUCAAGACGAGGACAAUGUCUUGAUGGUAGGGAUAUGAGCGUUCGUGUGAUGGAUUAACUAAGUAUCACACAUUUCUAUUUAAGACCUAUAUUCUAUGGCUUACUUUCCAACUAUAACACAAGCAUACAAUAUACAGCAUAAUAGAACAUUCAUUCCCUAAUACUUGACCUAGAUCACACAUCAAAAACUUUUAAUUCAUGCCCAUAACAUACAACUCGUAAAUUUUGACCUAGGGUUUCAAAUAAAACUGAUUUUGUACUUUUAUGAACUUCUUACGAAAAUCUAUGAAAUGUAAAAGUUCAUCGAUUUGAAAUAUAGCAAGCUUUGGAAAUUUUACAAAGAACACCCUAGAACUUUCUAAAACAUAGCAAUCAAGUCCCUGGUCCGGGAAAAUAGAUAGCAGGAAAAUAAUGACGAUAUUCCGGCAAAGGAAUCGCCGGCAUUAAGAAGAUUCAGUGAAUCAGGGCAAACCUUGGGGUAGUUUCGGCUGUGGAGGAAGAACAAACGGAAAGUGAAGUCCCGUGGCGAUAGGAUCGGUGAAGAGAAAAGCUCGACGAUGACGAGAUUCCGUGGAUGACGAAGUAGUUUGCCGAGAAUGGUUGUAGUGGGUGGAAGAUGGCCGAAGGAGUAGUCUUCAUGGUGACUCGUGAUAAUGGCGGUUGAGUGAUCCACGAGGGUAAGAACUGUUGGAUGUCGUGGAUCAUGGAGUAAGACGAUGGAGCCGAAUAGGUUCGCUAUACCGACUUCUCCGCGAACCCCAGGAUUUUCCUACUCACGAGCUGAGCCGGCCACCGGUAGAACGCUUCCGCUCCCACUCGCGAACGCGCCGGUUCAGUUCCGCUCGGACCUCUGGGUCCUGUAACUUCGCCGCCCUCUCCGCCUGUUGCGACGCCAUCUGGUUUGACCUAUCACCGCCGCCGGUCUUGUGUUGCACGUCAAACCCGUAUCGCGUUGCUCCCGCCUCGACUUCCGUAUAGAUGAAGGGAGCCCGUCGUGCCUGGCUACACCGCAUCUCCUCCGAGCUCGUUACGCCCGACCACUGCCUUCGCUCCGCGGCUUCUUUUUCUGAUUCGCCACGCCAUACUCUCACUUCCGCCUUUGCGAGGACUGUGGUCUACCUGUAUUAGGGCCAUGCCUUCCGCUGCGUUUUCCUCGACGGCCUCUAAUGUCCAUCACGCGUGACCCUCCUGCACACCAACUUGGUCGCGGCCUGAGCUCGCCCAGCGGGAACUCCACCAUGCGCUGCACGCCGUCGCCCUGCACGCCGCGCAACUGCUCCUCCUCUUCCUGCUGCUGGACACGCGCUCACUUCGGCCUCGCCGCGUCACAUCUGCACAUGUCCGAGCCGCGCGGAUCCUUGACCCGCUCCCACUUCGCAGGCUCAGCUUCACUUCUCCCGCGGCUCGCAUUUCGUCGAACACCUUGGCUGCGUACUCGAUACGGCUACCGCGUCCCCGCAUCCGCACAUGCACGCCUGUACGUCGUCGACCUGCUCGGCCACUCCAGCACCUGCCGCGCGCGCCAAUCCCGCGCGCCCACGCUUCUGCUCCGCCGCGCACGCACUGCUCUACCCGUGCGCCCGCAUCUGCCGCACCUUCGUCGGCCUACCUCCGCGCCCGAGCCAGUGCGCUCCAGCCCCAAGAAGCUGUCGCACCGAGUCAGUAUCUGCCGCUCGCGCCGUGCACUUGCUCCGCUCAAACCUACACCGCUCCUCUUCCUCCUGAGCCGCCGCGCCACGACCUGGUGCCGCAGCUACCCGUGCCGGCUCGCCUCUGGCUUCCGCGGCCCGCCUGCGCCAGCCGCGCUCCGCCCACCGGCCCGCCUGCUCCCGCGCACUGCCUGGCCGCUGCCGCGUCACGCGCUCGCCCGCACGCGCCCUGCCUGGCCUGCCUCCGCUCGACCGCAGCCUCCCGCGUGCGCUCGUGCCUGCGCCGAGCCGCCGCCGCUCCAACUUCCGUCCACCCCGCUCCUGGGCCCACACGCGCCGCGUGCCGCCCUGGCUCGGCGCCCGCCGCGCGCACCCGCCAGCUCGCGCCACCCCGCCAAGCCGCCUUUCCCGCGCACGCCGUCGCGCGCUCGCUCGGGGCCGCCGCCGCUCGGGCCCCCUCACUCUGGCGCCGCCCGGACGCCUAGCUGCCCGCGCGUGCGCCCGCGUUUGGCCGCGCCCUGCGCCGCGCGCUGCCUGGGGCCGCCGCCCGAGCCCGCCGUCGCCUGGGCCCCUGCGCGCGCACACCCGGGCGCGCCUGCUGCUGCUGCCUGCUGACUGGGUAGACGGGAGAGAGAGAAAGGAUAAGUGCUGCCGGUAGAAGAAGCAAAAACAGAGACGCCAAGAAGAAAGAAAUAGAGAAGGAUGAACAGAUUUCCCCAAGGACCUAUACAUAAAUACAGAAAACUGCAAGGGCCUAUCUGUAAAACAAAAUUUCCCGUUGAUUUAAAACCCAAAUGAAGAAAUGCCCAAAACAAAAGUUGGAGAGUUUUUCAAACUCUACAACAUUGCUUUAGGGCUCGAGUUCAAAAACUUGAGACUUAUAUUUUUACACGUGAAUCUUUGAACAAAAGUCGGAUUUGAAUUGCUUUUGUCCAAAAGAAUGAAACUUUAUAAAAUCUAGGACGUAAAUGCAAGCAUUUAUGACACGUCAUAAUGACAGGAUAGACUCGUCAUAAUGGUUGGAUAGACAUGUCAUGAUGACUUACACUUUUUACACUUUAGUCCUGAGUAACUUUGGAAAUUACUUUUGUAAAUCAAAUAUUUGCUUAAAAGGACUUAUACUUUUAUAAAAUUACAUAAAUACCCUUGUUUUUACCACUUUACCCAAAAUUUUUACACACUUCAACGCACACAUUUCAAAUGCAACUUUCGGAUAAAUAUAUAUCUAUUUUUACAAGGAAUAAAAUAAGAAAAACAUGUUUGCAAAACCACCCUUUACUUAUUUUUAAAUUACCCUUAUCUAGUUACAUUUUGCAGAAACAACCCUAGAUUUUUCUGUAAUUACAAAAGUUACCCUUUUAUUUGCACUUUUAAAUUUUCAAAAGUUUCACAUAGACAUACACAAGCUUUACUCUUAACAAACACAUAUUUCACACUAACAAAUUAUAUGCCUAGUUUACAAACACAUGAACUAUCACAGAAAUACUGGGAUAUGCACCGGGGCUUGCCUUUACUGGUGAGACUGAAGUCAGAAAUGUCAAUAUCUUCCGAACUUUGGUUCGGGGCUUCAGUUAAUUCCUUGGUGACGUUCAUUUGGCCUUCAGGAAUAUCCUCCGCAGACUCCUGGGAGAUCUCGUAGGUACCGUUGCCGAAGUAAUCGUAUCUAUAUGCAAUGCAACAUUUCAUUCAAAGUGUGCACAUAAAACUACCUUACUUCACAAUUCAAUUGCAAUCCAGCAUUCAUACAACAUACUAUUCAUAUAUCAACCAAAAAGAUCUGAACUAAACCUAGAUAGAGCUUUAGGGGGACAACUAACUAGAAUCGGCUACUCGUUGAAGAUUACAACAGAGCCGAUUGGAAACAAUAGGGGUUUAGCCGAUGGAAAGGUGCAUCGGUUUCCUAGGCGAUCGAUGAAAACAUCGAUUACCUUAGCAGAGGGAUGAUUGCUAAUGUAGCUGUGUCUUAACUGAGAUGUGCUUAAGUGUUAUUCUAGGUAACUAGGUGUGGUUGUAUCGACUUGAUUACGUCAGCGCAAUUAUUGAGUGACGUACAGCCGAUUGAAGUGUGGUUAAGGGUAUGUGACCGAGAAGUAUAAAGCUGACCUCUCAGUCGAUAAAUCGACUGAUAGAAGUGUGUGGAUAAGGAUGGGGAAACUAAGGAUCGAUCGGCCGUGUUUAACCGAUAUGGAAAAGUAACCAAAAUCGGCUUGGGUCGGCCGAUGGCAAGAACCCUAAGAUUGUGGGUGUAUCUUCGAUGCAUCGACUAUGUGCAGCCGAUGUAGGACAAAACAAAAGAAUGGUAUCGGCGGUAGCCGAUACUAGAAGGGUAACAACCAUAUUAGUUAACCAACUGAUGGUAGGAACCUAUCAAAAGAAAAGCAUCGGUUGACAGUUGUUACACAGAAACAUCAUAGCUUAAGGAAACAGAGGCUUAGCGGCUAAACCAAAAGCUGAUGUUGAAAUGCAGCUGCAAAGAUGUAUAAGUUAAACAACAGAUGCGCAUGAAUUGACAAAGAUCUUUAUACGAAGAGAAUUUUACGGAAACGGCAAUCAAAACAAGGACAGAGUCUGGAUGGCAGGAAUUUGAGUACUAAAGAUCACACGUCGGUACUUGAGACAUACAUCUGAUGAUCUAUAUUCAGCUACAACACAUGCCUACAACACCAGGUAUAAUAAAGCACUCAUUUUCUAAGAUUUAACCUAGACCACAAUCCAAAGACUUUCAAAUCAAAAUCACAACAUAUAACUUGUAGAGUUUGACUUAGGAUUUCAAACAAAACUAAUUUUACCUUUUUAUGAACUUCUUACGAAAAUCUAUGAAAUGUAGAAGUUCAUCGAUUUGAAAUACAGAAAGCUUUGGAAAUUUUACAAAGAACACCCUAGAACUUGCUAAAACAUAAUAAUUAAGUUCCUGGUUUGGGAAAACAGAUAACAGGAAGUUAACGAUGACAUUCCGGCAAAGGAGUCGCCGGCAUUAGAGAAAUUAGUGGAUCAGGGCAAACCUUGGGAUAGCCUUGGUUAUGAAGAAGAACACGCGGAAAGUAAAUUCCUGCGGUGAAUAGGAUUGGUGACGAUAAAAGCUCGAUGAUGACGGGAUCCUGUGGAUGACGAAGAAGUUUGUCGGGGAGGGUUGACGUGGGGGGAAGAUGGCCUGUUGUCUUGUACACACACGCGCCUGCUGAAUCGAGCCGAGCUGGCCACUAACAUAAUACUUCCGCUCGCUCGCGCUGCUGCCCGCUGGUGCCUGGGCACUGCCGCUCGCCCACCGCCCGUGCGCCUGCGCCCUGCCGCAGCUCACGCGCCAGCUCUCGCCGCACGGGCCCCUACGC
rnacentral:lncRNA from 1 species